rnacentral:rRNA from 1 species
UACGUAGGGUGCAGGCGUUAAUCGGAAUUACUGGGCGUAAAGCGUGCGCAGGCGGUUUGCUAAGACAGGUGUGAAAUCCCCGGGCUUAACCUGGGAACUGCGCUUGUUACUGGCAGGCUUGAGUGUGGCAGAGGGGGGUGGAAUUCCACGUGUAGCAGUGAAAUGCGUAGAGAUGUGGAGGAAUACCGAUGGCGAAGGCAGCCCCCUGGGAUAACACUGACGCUCAUGCACGAAAGCGUGGGGAGCAAACAGG